AGGGACGUGGCGCAGACAGGUCUACCGCGACGGGCUCCAGACCCGUAGGCCGAGGGUUCGAAUCCCUCCGUCCCCA
rnacentral:tRNA from 1 species